rnacentral:rRNA from 1 species
UUGAUCCUGGCUCAGAUUGAACGCUAGCGGGAUGCCUUACACAUGCAAGUCGAACGGCAGCACGGACUUCGGUCUGGUGGCGAGUGGCGAACGGGUGAGUAAUGUAUCGGAACGUGCCUAGUAGCGGGGGAUAACUACGCGAAAGCGUAGCUAAUACCGCAUACGCCCUACGGGGGAAAGCAGGGGAUCGUAAGACCUUGCACUAUUAGAGCGGCCGAUAUCGGAUUAGCUAGUUGGUGGGGUAACGGCUCACCAAGGCGACGAUCCGUAGCUGGUUUGAGAGGACGACCAGCCACACUGGGACUGAGACACGGCCCAGACUCCUACGGGAGGCAGCAGUGGGGAAUUUUGGACAAUGGGGGAAACCCUGAUCCAGCCAUCCCGCGUGUGCGAUGAAGGCCUUCGGGUUGUAAAGCACUUUUGGCAGGAAAGAAACGCCGCGGGCUAAUACCUCGCGGAACUGAC